UCCUGCGAGUCAGGAGAGAGUGCCCCACCCUUGCACAAGGAUGAGCGGCACCGCCGAAGGCGCAGGCAGCAGCCGAACGCUCAGGCAAAAGGACUGGCAAGCGCCC
rnacentral:ncRNA from 2 species